CCUGUAGCAGGGAAGCUGACUCCUUUGGCCGCUGCUUUUUGUGUGCCCAGCUCCAUUUGCCCAGUCUGCCCGCCUCCGUGAUCCCCUGCGGCGCCGGCUGGAGCCUUCGUAGCGCGCCAGUGAGGAGCUGCUGCAGAAGAAACAACAAGAGGCACGGUGAACCUGGUUGGCCUGAGCAUGCAAGAAGAUAUUACUGUAACCGUCCAUUUGUUUCAGUAAACUUUUUUCUUCUGGUGCAUCUGCUGUCAUGUGUGUUUUGCUUGUUAGCUCCUUAUUGUUGCAGUGGCCCUUUGAGAAUAAAAUUUGUUUGCUUUGUUUUUGCCAUGA